rfam:Triticum urartu cultivar G1812 contig102956, whole genome shotgun sequence.
AAAGUACUCCCUCCAUCCCAAAAUUCUUGUCUUAGAUUUGUCUAGAUACGGAUGUAUCAAGUCACAUUUUAGUAUUAGAUACAUCUGUAUCUAGACAAAUCUAAGACAAGAAAUUUGGGACAGAGGGACUAGUUC